AACGCGAAGAACCUUACCUAAGCUUGAGUCAUUCUUACCGUUGCUUAAAGGAGUUCCCCUUGGGGAAAGAAGAGACAGGUGGUGCGUGGUUGUCGUCACCUCGUGUCGAGAGAUGUUGGGUUAUCUCCCGCCACGAGCGCCCCCCUUGUUUUUUUUUUCCCCCUUUAAUUUGGGCACUCUAGAGAGACUGCCGGGUAUAACCGGGAAAAGGGGGGGGAUGACGUCAAAUCAUCAUGCCCCUUAUGUUUGGGGCUACACACGUGCUACAAUGGGUGGUACAAAGGGAAGCCAAGUCGUGAGGGAGAGAAAAUCCCAAAAAGCCAUUCUCAGUUCGGAUUGUAGGCUGAAACUCUCCUACAUGAAGGUGGAGUUACUAAUAAUCAAACAUAAUAAUGCUGCGAAGAAUAUCUUCACGGGUCUUGUACACACCG
rnacentral:rRNA from 1 species